rnacentral:rRNA from 1 species
GUGAGGAAUUUUCCGCAAUGGGCGAAAGCCUGACGGAGCAAUGCCGCGUGAAGGAUGAAGGCCUAUGGGUUGUAAACUUCUUUUCUCAGAAAAGAAUUAUGACGGUAUCUGAGGAAUAAGCAUCGGCUAACUCUGUGCCAGCAGCCGCGGUAAGACAGAGGAUGCAAGCGUUAUCCGGAAUGAUUGGGCGUAAAGCGUCUGUAGGUUGUUUAAAAAGUAUUCUGUCAAAGAUUAGGGCUUAACCCUAGAUAGGCAGCAUAAACUUUUAAGCUAGAGUGUGGUAGAGGCAGAGGGAAUUCCCGGUGGAGCGGUGAAAUGCGUAGAUAUCGGGAGGAACACCAAAGGCGAAGGCACUCUGCUGGGCCAAUACUAACACUGAGAGACGAAAGCGAGGGGAGCAAAUGGGAUUAGAAACCCCGGUAGUCC